CGCGUGAGAAUCUGGCUUCAGGUUCGGGACAACCACUGGAAACGGUGGCUAAUACCGGAUAUGCCUAAGGGUGAAAGUUUAAAUGCCUGAAGAUGAGCUCGCGUCUGAUUAGCUAGUAGGUAGUGUAAAGGACUACCUAGGCGACGAUCAGUAGCUGGUCUGAGAGGAUGAUCAGCCACACUGGGACUGAGACACGGCCCAGACUCCUACGGGAGGCAGCAGUGGGGAAUAUUGCACAAUGGGGGAAACCCUGAUGCAGCCAUGCCGCGUGUGUGAAGAAGGCCUGGUUGUAAGCACUUC
rnacentral:rRNA from 1 species